UGCCAUCAGUCAAUCAUUUCAAUCAACACACUGUCCAAACUUGAUAUUAAACAAAGGUCAUAAAUAUUAAACAAAGUUCUUAAAAAUUAAACUUGGAUAUCUCAUGUCCCUACUGACUUCCAACUUAAUCUCUCAUGUUCUCCAUUGUGCUUGAAGUUGGUGGAUUGUUGCUUGAUGUAAGUAGGGUUCUAUACAUUCUUGUAGCAGGAGGUGUGUUAUUUCUGCUUGAUCCAUCUUGAUAUAUGACUUCUCCUGGAGUUGGCAUCUGCAUUUGACAUAACCAAGCACAAGUAUGGUUACAUAUGAAAAAUGACAAAUAAAAGUAACAUAAAUACUUGCAAUUUAAAAAAAGUUGUAACUCACAAAAACUAAUCCAGAGUUUUGUCCAUUCAUAUUAUCUAUUACAGCUCCCUCAGGACUAACAUAAACACCAAAUCCUGCUGGUACUUUAGCGCGGGUCUUUAUCCUCUUAACUUGCAACUUUG
rnacentral:lncRNA from 1 species